rnacentral:rRNA from 1 species
AGGGUGUAAACGCUGCGGGCUUGGUGUUGGGGGUCCUUAGUGGGCGCCCAGUGCCGGAGAGAAGUUGUUAAGCCUGCUGCUUGGGGAGUAUGUCCGCAAGGAUGAAACUUAAAGGAAUUGGCGGGGGAGCACCGCAACGGGAGGAGCGUGCGGUUCAAUUGGACUCAACGCCGGAAAACUCAUCGGGAGAGACAGCAGUAUGAUUGCCAGGUUGAUGACCUUGCUUGACAAGCUGAGAGGAGGUGCAUGGCGUAGUCGUGU